GACGAACGCUGGCGGCGUGCCUAAUACAUGCAAGUAGAACGCUGAAGGAGGAGCUUGCUUCUCUGGAUGAGUUGCGAACGGGUGAGUAACGCGUAGGUAACCUGCCUGGUAGCGGGGGAUAACUAUUGGAAACGAUAGCUAAUACCGCAUAAGAGUAGAUGUUGCAUGACAUUUACUUAAAAGGUGCACUUGCAUCACUACCAGAUGGACCUGCGUUGUAUUAGCUAGUUGGUGAGGUAACGGCUCACCAAGGCAACGAUACAUCGCCGACCUGAGAGGGUGAUCGGCCACACUGGGACUGAGACACGGCACAGACUCCUACGGGAGGCAGCAGUAGGGAAUCUUCGGCAAUAGACGGAAGUCUGACCGAGCAACGCCGCGUGAGUGAAGAAGGGUGUCGGAUCGUAAAGCUCUGUUGUAAGGGAAGAACGAGUGUGAGAGUGGAAAGUUCACACUGUGACGGUAUCUUACCAGAAAGGGACGGCUAACUACGUG
rnacentral:rRNA from 1 species